GACGAACGCUGGCGGCGUGCCUUACACAUGCAAGUCGAACGGAAAUACCCUGCCUGCGUGGGGUUCUCGAGUGGCGAACUAGUUUGUAUCACGUGAGUAUACUGCCCCUGACUUUGGGAUAACUUCUGGAAACUGGGGCUAAUACCAGAUUGUCGCCCCUGAUGCACGGAGGGGGUUGGAAAGUUGCGCUGGUGGGGGAUUGACUGGCGGCUUAUCAGCUUGUUGGUGGGGUAGUGGCUGGCCAAGGCAUUGACGGGUGGCAGGCCUGAGAGGGUGAACGGCCACAUAGGGACUGAGAUACGCACCGGACUCAUACGGGAGGCAGCAGUGGGGAAUAAUGCACGAUGGACGGAAGCCAGACGCAGCAACGCCGCGUGCGGGAGGAAGGCAUUCGGGUUGUAAGCCGCUUUCGUCUAUAACGAAGCGUGAGUGACGGUAAUGGAUAAAGAAGCACCGGCUAACUACGUG
rnacentral:rRNA from 1 species